GUGUGGCAUUACCAAAAAAGAAAAGGUAUAUUCUGUGCCUUGUGCUUAAAACGUCUCCUUUUGUGGUAUUUAUAGCUUAAGGAUAGAAUAAGUUGUGUAUGUUAGACACACUUAUUGACAUAGAUGCUAAUUACAUACUAGGUGCUCAAAUUAUUUUUGCUACAUUGAAUGGACCACUAGAAAGCCAACAGAAAAAAAGUACUCUGUGAGGACAAGUCUAUCUUUUAUGUUUAUAGAUUUAAACAGUGGUAUGUUUUUAAUUCUGUUGUUUUCCUUCACUUGAAAAUCUUCCUAGUAGUAAAUUUUACCAUCAUCCCUUACGCCCCUUUGAAGAUAGUUUUACUCAUUUGAAAUAACAGAUUUAGAGGAAUUAUUAAAAGUUAUAGAGAGAUUGUGUAUAUAUUUGAACUUAAAAACAAAAAUUACAGCAUGAAACAUAGAAACUUUAAAUGAUAUUCAUUGUUUUAAUUAUAUAAAGGUUGAAACUGUUAUGAUGGGUUCUUCAAAACAGAAUGGAAAUGUAUUUUUUUUUCAGACAAUGUCUUGCUAUAUAACAUAGAGCUGGCCUUAAACUAGCUAUGUAACCCAGGCUUUCCUGAAAUUUAUGGUUUUUCUUCUCCAACUUUUUGAGUGUGGCGAUUUAUCAGCUUGUACUUUGCCCAGCUGGGAAUAUAAUUAUCUUAUGUGUUAUUUACUAUAAAGCUGCUAUUUGGUGGUGAAAAGUACUAAAACAAUUGCUAUAUAUUUCACAGAUUGUACUGUUUGUCCACAGUAAGUUUUAUCUCCUUUUUGCCUGAUUCCUGGUUUGGUACAUACAGAGGUACAGGACUGAUACUUGGCUUGAAACUAAAGGGACUAAUUCAUUUAUGACUUAUUGGAUAUUUACAUUGCACCCACAGACUCGCAGGUUCCUGCUCCUAAGGAGUCAGUGGCCUAGGAGAGGACAAAAGAUUGGUUCAAAUGGCAAAAGGAUCAUUGUUUCUCACAUUUCCCUUCCCCAAAUUGAGAAAUAGUUUUCUUAGCUUGUUUUCAGGCAAUCAUGGCAGAAGGAAAACAACAUGCUUUAUGUGUGGGCGUCAUGAAGAUGUCUGCAGAAGAUAUGUAAGUUUCACUCUAGGCUCCUUUAACUGACAUAUAAGUGGUAGUUCAAGAAGCAUCUGUUUCAGGUGAAGUUUGAUGUUAUUCAUACCACAUCUUACAAAUACCUAAGCCAAGUAGAUCAUUUCUUAUUUUUUCCUAACACUUUAGGAAGCCCUUUGUCUUCAGGGUUACACUCUUAAGCAUUUUGAAAGGAAACAUGCCAAAACAGUAUUUCAUACCUAUGUAUGUGGU
rnacentral:lncRNA from 1 species